GCAAUUUUUAAAAUAUAGGGCAGUUUCAUUUAGUUGGUAAAAGGAUCCUAAUACCCUAGAUAUAUAAAAAACUAAAAAAUUAAAAAAAUUAAAAAAAUAUUUUUUUAUAGUUUUAGAUUAUAUGUUUUCAAAUUCAAACUUUUUUAUAAUUUUUUUUAAAUUGUUUUUCGAAUUUUUUUUAAAUUUUUUUUCAAAUAUCUUUUUGUAAUUCGAAAAUACUUUUUGAUAUUAUUUUUAAAAUUUUUAUUUUCAAAUUUUAAUAUUUAUUGUUUAUUUUAUAAAAUUUUAAAUCUCAAUCCCAAAUCACCACUCCUAACCUCUAAACCCUAAGGUUUUGAUUAGUUAACCCUAGAGGCAUAAAUGUAUAUUUACCUUUUUAAUGUAACAUUUUAGUCAUUUUGAUCCUUAUAGUCUAUAUUUG
rnacentral:lncRNA from 1 species